rnacentral:snRNA from 1 species
GUGCUUACUUCAGUGAUACAUAUACUAAAAUUGGAACGAUACAGAGAAGAUUAACAUGGUCCCUGGGCAAAGAUGACAUGUAAAUUGGUGAUGCAUGCCAUAUUUUU